rnacentral:misc_RNA from 1 species
GAUGAAGAACGUAGCGAAAUGCGAUAAGUAGUGUGAAUUGCAGAAUUCAGUGAAUCAUCGAAUCUUUGAACGCACAUUGCGCCCCUUGGUAUUCCAUGGGGCAUGCCUGUUCGAGCGUCAUUUGUACCUUCAAGCUUUGCUUGGUGUUGGGUGUUUGUCUCGCCUUUGCGUGUAGACUCGCCUUAAAAUAAUUGGCAGCCGGCGUAUUGAUUUCGGAGCGCAGUACAUCUCGCGCUUUGCACUCAUAACGACAGCGUCCAAAAGUACAUUUUUACACUCUUGACCUCGGAUCAGGUAGGGAUACCCGCUGAACUUAAGCAUAUCAAUAAGCGGAGGA